rnacentral:rRNA from 1 species
CCUACGGGGCGCAGCAGUAGGGAAUAUUGCUCAAUGGGGGAAACCCUGAAGCAGCAACGCCGCGUGGAGGAUGAAGGUUUUCGGAUUGUAAACUCCUUUUGUUAGAGAAGAUAAUGACGGUAUCUAACGAAUAAGCACCGGCUAACUCCGUGCCAGCAGCCGCGGUAAUACGGAGGGAGCAAGCGUUAUCCGGAUUUAUUGGGUGUAAAGGGUGCGUAGACGGGAAAUUAAGUUAGUUGUGAAAUCCCUCGGCUUAACUGAGGAACUGCAACUAACACUGAUUUUCUUGAGUACUGGAGAGGAAA